rnacentral:rRNA from 1 species
GACGAACGCUGGCGGCGUGCUUAACACAUGCAAGUCGAACGGUGAAGCUCCAGCUUGCUGGAGUGGAUCAGUGGCGAACGGGUGAGUAACACGUGAGCAACCUGCCCCUGACUCUGGAAUAAGCGCUGGAAACGGCGUCUAAUACUGGAUACGAGAAGGGUCCGCAUGGGCACUUUCUGGAAAGUUUUUCGGUUGGGGAUGGGCUCGCGGCCUAUCAGCUUGUUGGUGAGGUAAUGGCACACCAAGGCGACGACGGGUAGCCGGCCUGAGAGGGCGACCGGGCACACUGGUACUGAGACACGGCCCAGACUGCUACGGGAGGCAGAAGUGGGGAGUAUUGCACAGUGAGCGAGAGCCUGAUGCAACGGCGCCGCGUGAGGGAUGACGGCCUUCGGGUUAUAAACCUCUUUCAGCAGGGAAGAAGCGAAAGUGACGGUACCUGCAGAAGAAGCACCGGCUAACUACGUG